UCUCUAUGCUCGGAGAUGGAUACCUAGGC
rnacentral:piRNA from 1 species